GCAAGUCGAACGGUAAGGUCUCUUCGGAGAUACACGAGUGGCGCACGGGUGCGUAACGCGUAUGCAACCUACCUUGAACUGGAAGAUAGCCCCGAGAAAUCGGGAUUAAUAUUCCAUAAUGUCCAUUUUUUGCAUAUGAGAUGGAUUAAAGUUACGGCGGUUCAAGAUGGGCAUGCGUGACAUUAGCUAGUUGGUGAGGUAACGGCUCACCAAGGCGACGAUGUCUAGGGGUCCUGAGAGGGUUUCCCCCCACACUGGUACUGAGACACGGACCAGACUCCUACGGGAGGCAGCAGUGAGGAAUAUUGGUCAAUGGACGCAAGUCUGAACCAGCCAUGCCGCGUGCAGGAUGACUGCCCUACGGGUUGUAAACUGCUUUUACGUGAGAAAAAACUCCCCGAUUCGUUCGGGGACUGAUGGUAUCACAUGAAUAAGCAUCGGCUAACUCCGUGCCAGCAGCCGCGGUAAUACGGAGGAUGCAAGCGUUAUCCGGAUUCAUUGGGUUUAAAGGGUGUGCAGGCGGAAUGAUAAGUCAGAGGUGAAAUCCCCCGGCUCAACCGGGGACCUGCCUUUGAUACUGUUGUUCUUGAGUAUAGUGAGUGGCGGAUGUGUCAUGUAGCGGUGAAAUGCAUAGAUAUGACCCGACACCGAUGCGAGCAGCUCACUACUAUACUGACGCUCAUGCACGAAAGCGUGGGGAGGCAAACAGGAUUAGAUACCUGUAGUCACGCUGUAAACUAUGAUCACUAGUGUUAGCGAUACACUGUUAGCGACUGAGGGAAACCAUUAAGUGAUCCACUGGGGAGUACGGCCGCAAGGUUGAAACUCAAAGGAAUUGACGGGGGCCCGCACAAGCGGAGGAGCAUGUGGUUUAAUUCGAUGAUACGCGAGGAACCUUACCUGGGCUUAAAUGCAGGACGACAUCCCGUGAAAACGGGAUUUCUUCGGACGGCCUGCAAGGUGCUGCAUGGUUGUUGUCAGCUCGUGCCGUGAGGUGUCGGGUUAAGUCCCAUAACGAGCGCAACCCCUAUUCUUAGUUGCCAUCAGGUAAUGCUGGGAACUCUAAGGAAACUGCCUACGCAAGUAGUGAGGAAGGUGGGGAUGACGUCAAAUCAGCACGGCCCUUAUGUCCAGGGCGACACACGUGCUACAAUGGCCGAUACAGAGGGGAGCUAACUGGUGACAGUCUGCAAAUCUCGAAAGUCGGUCUCAGUUCGGAUCGGAGUCUGCAACUCGACUUCGUGAAGCUGGAUUCGCUAGUAAUCGCGCAUCAGCCACGGCGCGGUGAAUACGUUCCCGGGCCUUGUACACACCGCCCGUCAAGCCAUGGAAGUUGGGAGUACCUAAAGUCCGUGACC
rnacentral:rRNA from 1 species